GGUGACUCCAUCAGACUCCUCAUGAAGGGGUAGACCAGGGCUGCAGAGAUCCCCCUCCGCCUCUCCACCUCAUCCAGGAUCUACACACAGCACAGGACAGGGGGUUGAGAGUUAGACCACACAGCACAGGACAGGGGGUUGAGAGUUAGACCACACAGCACAGGACAGGGGGUUGAGAGUUAGACCACACAGCACAGGACAGGGGGUUGAGAGUUAGACCACACAGCACAGGACAGGGGGUUGAGAGUUAGACCACACAGCACAGGACAGGGGGUUGAGAGUUAGACCACACAGCACAGGACAGGGGGUUGAGAGUUAGACCACACAGCACAGGACAGGGGGUUGAGAGUUAGACCACACAGCACAGGACAGGGGGUUGAGAGUUAGACCACACAGCACAGGACAGGGGGUUGAGAGUUAGUCCACACUGCAGACACAACACUCAAUAUUUCAAACAGAAAGUCCCAAAUUCCCUAUAUGGUGCCUUAUGGACCGUGGUCAAAUGUAGUGCACUAAAUAAGGAAUAAUGUUUCACUCGGGAUGUAGAUUGAGAAUCUAGUAAUAGACCAAGACCAAGUACAUUCAGUCAGUAUGGCCAGUAAAUGGAAAUGUGUGUUGCUGUCUGAAGUAAAGCUCCUGCUAUUGUCUGGAACCAGGCUACCUUUGCCCCUUUUGACAAAUACAGUAUGAAUUUCAAUCUGUGGCUCUCUGAUAUAUUUGGAAAGUAGCAAAGGAAAAUCGCACCCAAUAUGCCCACGUGUCUGUCUGUGUCAGACCUGGUCUACUCCUGCCUGGAAAGUUUGUUGGAGAGAGACACACUCACAUUCAGGGUCAUAUGAUAUCCCCUGCACUCCCCACACACCCUCUGUUCCCAGUGAAAUCAAACACUCCCAUCUUUCUCGCCUUAACUAGAAAAGCAUUUCAUACUCCUUGGAAAACAUUUCCUCUCUCACCUACGCAGGUCUCAAGCCCUCAAAAUGGUGCCUUCUGAAACCUAGACCCGCCACCUGUAUGAGGGAUGUUCAACCCUCACUGUUGAGGUGCCUGUGCUGUCACAAGACAGAAAUAAUAUAUUGUAUUUAUGCAUACUUUUGGCCUUAAAUGAAUAUGAAAUGAAACUAACUGACAGCUUUUUGCCACAUUUUAGCACUCACGACACAGUAAUAAAAAGUUAUUUUCAUUCAUUAGAUAUGUCUACUACCUCUUAAUUGUUUCCCUUAACACAGGCCUUAUUCACUUCAAAUACACUGUUCAUAGAGGAUUCAUGAGGAGGUAGAUAAGGCAUGGAGUACUUAAACACAAUGAGCACUCUGUUUCAUGUUAGCUCAACUCAGGAACAGGUGAAGGAAACAAUUUAACUGGGAAAUCAGAGAGGAAAAAGCAGAAAAUAAGGUUUAUGCUGGACAGGAUGCCUUAGAGUGGAAAUGCUGGCACAGCCUCAACUAGUUCACUCCUGGGAACACUGGCCUCGGCUCGGCUCAGAGACAGGUAACUGCGAUGACGGCUACACUAGGGUGUGUGUGUGUGUGUGUGUGUGUGUGUGUGUGUGUGUGUGUGU